GACGAACGCUGGCGGCGUGCCUAAUACAUGCAAGUCGAACGAGAGCGACCGGUGCUUGCACUGGUCAAUCUAGUGGCGAACGGGUGAGCAACACGUGGGUAACCUGCCCAUCAGAGGGGGAUAACAUCCGGAAACGGAUGCUAAAACCGCAUAGGUCUUCGAGCCGCAUGGCUUGAAGAGGAAAAGAGGCGCAAGCUUCUGUUGAUGGAUGGACCCGCGGUGCAUUAGCUAGUUGGUGAGGUAACGGCUCACCAAGGCCGUGAUGCAUAGCCGACCUGAGAGGGUGAUCGGCCACAUUGGGACUGAGACACGGCCCAAACUCCUACGGGAGGCAGCAGUAGGGAAUCUUCCGCAAUGGACGCAAGUCUGACGGAGCAACGCCGCGUGAGUGAAGAAGGUUUUCGGAUCGUAAAACUCUGUUGUUAGAGAAGAACAAGUGCUAGAGUAACUGUUAGCGCCUUGACGGUAUCUAACCAGAAAGCCACGGCUAACUACGUG
rnacentral:rRNA from 1 species